AAUGGACGAAAGUCUGAACCAGCCAUGCCGCGUGGAGGAUGAAGGUCCUCUGGAUUGUAAACUUCUUUUAUAUGGGACGAAAAAAGGCCUUUCUAGGUCGUCUGACGGUACCAUAUGAAUAAGCACCGGCUAACUCCGUGCCAGCAGCUGCGGUAAUACGGAGGGUGCAAGCGUUAUCCGGAUUCACUGGGUUUAAAGGGUGCGUAGGUGGGUUGGUAAGUCAGUGGUGAAAUCCCCGAGCUUAACUUGGGAACUGCCAUUGAUACUAUCAGUCUUGAAUACCGUGGAGGUCAGCGGAAUAUGUCAUGUAGCGGUGAAAUGCUUAGAUAUGACAUAGAACACCGAUUGCGAAGGCAGCUUACUACGGAGUCAUUGACACUGAGGCACGAAAGCGUGGGGAUCAAA
rnacentral:rRNA from 1 species